ACGCUCACACCUACUGGAGGCAGCAGUAGGGAAUUUUCGGCAAUGGGGGGAACCCUGACCGAGCAACGCCGCGUGAAGGAAGAAGGAAUUCGUUCUGUAAACUUCUGUUAUAAAGGAAGAACGGCGGAUAUAGGGAAUGAUAUCCGAGUGACGGUACUUUAUGAGAAAGCCACGGCUAACUACGUGCCGGCAGCCGCGGUAAUCUGAGCGGGCUGGCAAGGC
rnacentral:rRNA from 1 species